AGAGUUUGAUCAUGGCUCAGGAUAAACGCUGGCGGCGUGCCUAACACAUGCAAGUCGAACGAUCCCGCAAGGGAGAGUGGCGGAAGGGUGAGUAACACGUGGGAAUCUACCUCCUCGCAGGGAACAACCUCUCGAAAGAGAGGCUAAUACCCAAAAGGGUCAGAAAUGAUCAGAGUCGAAAGGCGUGAGGAGAGGAGCCCGCGGCCCAUCAGCUAGUUGGUGAGGUAAUGGCUUACCAAGGCUACGACGGGUAGGGGAUCUGAGAGGAUGUCCCCCACACUGGAACUGAAACACGGUCCAGACGCCUACGGGUGGCAGCAGUGAAGAAUAUUGGACAAUGGGCGAAAGCCCGAUCCAGCAACGCCGCGUGGAGGAUGAAGGCCUUCGGGUCGUAAACUUCUUUAGAGGGAGACGAGAAAGGACGGUAUCCCUAGAAUAAGCGACGGCAAACUACGUG
rnacentral:rRNA from 1 species